GUUUUCAUGAUAGCUGUUUUCAACCCAUCAUUAAUAUGGAAAUGCAGGAUUGCAGGAAAAUAAAGUUCUGUGGGAGCAAUUUCAGUGGAGAGCUGACACAGAUUACAGGCAGUGCGUGAGCCCCACAUGGAGCCCCGAGUGAGCCUCAUCUUGCUCAUCGUGCCGAGAGCUGAUAUGGGUGGUGCAUGCUUUUGUCAUUACGUACAUGUUUCAUGUUGUUCUGGGUUUCAGGUAUGUCAACAUGGUGGAUUGCAACUACCUGCCUUUAUAACUAAAUGCUAUCCAGUAGACAGCUUUCUGAGGAAACUUGAACGUGCGGUAUGAAAAGGCUGACAGCCUCUUUUCUGCACAGCUUUCUGUGCUGCUUCUGUGAGUGGUACAAAGUGUUUGUUGGAAUAAGAAAUGAGCAUGUUUUGAUAGUAUCAAAGUCAAUGUUAAUGUUGUAGGAGCCCUUAUUAAGAUCAGCAGUCACACAGGGCAUGCACAUGCUGCUUAGGGCACCUUCUGGGGUACAGUUCUGGAGCCACUCAUAUGACAGCUGGAAGCAGGCAUAGCUUGGCCAUGCAGUGACAGCUGAUUUCUCACCUAUCCCUGCCCCUAUUCAUACACUCUGCAGUGUCCCAUGGCAGCACAGCACGUCAUGGAAAUGCUGGCUUGUACCUGAACACAUUGCAGUAGUGCUGAUGGGGUUUUUCAAGCAGAGCUUGCUGCCUGGAUCAUCAUGCUACAAGACUGCAGCAGAGCUGCUGCAGUCUUUGGUCUUUCCACCCAUCCCAAGUGCCACUGCAGUGUAGACACAUCUGUUUUGGUCCUCCUUUUAUAAAUAUUUAGCUGUGAAUCAGAGAAUGUUUCAGCAAAUAACUAAAAUCACUGUUGCUGAGGUGUGAAUAACAAGUUCCUAACAGCAACACCUCAGUACAAAGGUCAGAGCAAAUCAUACUGAGGCUAUUAAAAGGACAUAAUAUGCCAGCAGGAAAUGUCUCCCUAUAGUAUCAAGUAAAUCACAAAAUUAUGGAAUCAUAAAAACCGUGACGAGAAAGGACCAGAGUAGUUUUGUAUUAUUCUUUGAAUGUUGCUUCCUCCUUAUGCUGCUCUCACUCUAAUUACUUUCACAUGCUCCUUAUUUUUUUUUUCUCGGUGGUAUAAGUC
rnacentral:lncRNA from 1 species